UGGAUCCAGACUUUGAUCCUGGCUCAGGAUGAACGCUAGCUACAGGCUUAACACAUGCAAGUCGAGGGGAAACGACAUCGAAAGCUUGCUUUUGAUGGGCGUCGACCGGCGCACGGGUGAGUAACGCGUAUCCAACCUGCCCAUCACUUGGGAAUAACCUUGCGAAAGUAAGACUAAUGCCCAAUGAUAUCCCACGAAGACAUCUGAAUGGGAUUAAAGAUUUAUCGGUGAUGGAUGGGGAUGCGUCUGAUUAGCUUGUUGGCGGGGUAACGGCCCACCAAGGCAACGAUCAGUAGGGGUUCUGAGAGGAAGGUCCCCCACAUUGGAACUGAGACACGGUCCAAACUCCUACGGGAGGCAGCAGUGAGGAAUAUUGGUCAAUGGGCGAGAGCCUGAACCAGCCAAGUAGCGUGCAGGAAGACGGCCCUAUGGGUUGUAAACUGCUUUUAUAAGGGAAUAAAGUGAGUCUCGUGAGACUUUUUGCAUGUACCUUGUGAAUAAGGACCGGCUAAUUCCGUGCCAGCAGCCGCGGUAAUACGGAAGGUCCGGGCGUUAUCCGGAUUUAUUGGGUUUAAAGGGAGCGUAGGCCGGAGAUUAAGCGUGUUGUGAAAUGUAGUGGCUCAACCUCUGCACUGCAGCGCGAACUGGUCUUCUUGAGUACGCACAACGUGGGCGGAAUUCGUGGUGUAGCGGUGAAAUGCUUAGAUAUCACGAAGAACUCCGAUUGCGAAGGCAGCUCACGGGAGCGCAACUGACGCUGAAGCUCGAAAGUGCGGGUAUCGAACAGGAUUAGAUACCCUGGUAGUCCGCACGGUAAACGAUGGAUGCCCGCUGUUGGCCUGAAUAGGUCAGCGGCCAAGCGAAAGCAUUAAGCAUCCCACCUGGGGAGUACGCCGGCAACGGUGCAACUCAAAGGAAUUGACGGA
rnacentral:rRNA from 2 species